rnacentral:misc_RNA from 1 species
CCGAGUUUACAACUCCCAAACCCCUGUGAACAUACCAAUUGUUGCCUCGGCGGAUCAGCCCGCUCCCGGUAAAACGGGACGGCCCGCCAGAGACCCCUAAGCUCUGGUUUCUAUAUGUAACUUCUGAGUAAAACCAUAAAUAAAUCA